AACGCGAAGAACCUUACCCAGGUUGGACAUGCUCGUGGUACGAACCUGAAAGGGUGAGGACCUCGAAAGGGGAGCGAGCUCAGGUGCUGCACGGCUGUCGUCAGCUCGUGUCGUGAGAUGUUGGGUUAAGUCCCGCAACGAGCGCAACCCUCGUUCCAUGUUGCCAGCGGGUUAUGCCGGGGACUCAUGGGAGACUGCCGGGGUCAACUCGGAGGAAGGUGGGGAUGACGUCAAGUCAUCAUGCCCCUUACGUCCAGGGCUUCACACAUGCUACAAUGGCCUAUACAGAGGGCUGCGAGACCGUGAGGUGGAGCGAAUCCCUUAAAGUAGGUCUCAGUUCGGAUCGGGGUCUGCAACUCGACCCCGUGAAGUUGGAGUCGCUAGUAAUCGCAGAUCAGCAACGCUGCGGUGAAUACGUUCCCGGGCCUUGUACACACCG
rnacentral:rRNA from 1 species